UNGGAACAGGGAUAGAGCAGCAGUGA
rnacentral:piRNA from 1 species